CGCAGAAACCCAGUCCCUCCAUUAGGUGUCCUUCAAUGGGGCAAGUGGCACUGUGCCUUUAAAGCCCCAGAGGCUGCUGGGUAUUUUCGUGCACCAUUUUGUGACCUGUGGAGUUUGGUUCCUGGAGGCGGUUUGUCAGUAAUUUCAGGGCCUUGGCUGCAUGAGGAGAAAAGGCAGAAGUCCAGCUUCUUUCCACCUCCCUGGAGAAGCUUUCCAGACCAGCCCCCUCAGAGAUGAAGUGAUUGAGGCCCAGAGAAGAGACCAGCAGACCAGGG